GCCCCUUUGGCGGAAUUGGUAGACGCGCCUGACUCAAAAUCAGGUGUUGAGAGACGUGCUGGUUCGAGUCCGGCAAGGGGCACCA
rnacentral:tRNA from 1 species